rnacentral:rRNA from 1 species
GACGAACGCUGGCGGCGUGCUUAACACAUGCAAGUCGAACGGAAAGGCCCCUUCGGGGGUACUCGAGUGGCGAACAGGUGAGUAACACGUGAGUAACCUGCCCUUGACUUCGGGAUAACUUCAGGAAACUGGGGCUAAUACCGGAUAGGAAUCCUUGCUGCAUGGUGGGGGUUGGAAAGCUUCGGCGGUUUUGGAUGGACUCGCGGCUUAUCAGCUUGUUGGUGGGGUAGUGGCUUACCAAGGCUUUGACGGGUAGCCGGCCUGAGAGGGCGACCGGCCACAUUGGGACUGAGAUACGGCCCAGACUCCUACGGGAGGCAGCAGUGGGGAAUAUUGCACAAUGGGCGGAAGCCUGAUGCAGCAACGCCGCGUGCGGGAUGACGGCCUUCGGGUUGUAAACCGCUUUCGGCAGGGGCGAAGCUUGUGGUGACGGUACCUGCAGAAGAAGCACCGGCUAACUACGUG